AACUACCUGCUGAAGCAGUCCAAUGCCUUUCUGAAAGGUGAAAUCACAACUAUACAAAGUCGUCACUUGAUUUACCAGGACAUCGGAGUGUCUACACCGGUGCUAAACCAUAGGACUCCCCAAAAAGGAAUCUGAAAUAGAUGCAAAUGUCAGAGGAGGAAUUCGGCCUCCCCUGCAGCUGCGGAGGAGAGUGAGUCCUGGGGGCGGCCUGGCCAUCAAGGCCC
rnacentral:lncRNA from 1 species